UACGAAGGGGGCUAGCGUUGCUCGGAAUCACUGGGCGUAAAGGGUGCGUAGGCGGGUCUUUAAGUCAGGGGUGAAAUCCUGGAGCUCAACUCCAGAACUGCCUUUGAUACUGAAGAUCUUGAGUCCGGGAGAGGUGAGUGGAACUGCGAGUGUAGAGGUGAAAUUCGUAGAUAUUCGCAAGAACACCAGUGGCGAAGGCGUCUCACUGGCCCGGUACUGACGCUGAGGCACGAAAGCGUGGGGAGCAAACAGG
rnacentral:rRNA from 1 species